rnacentral:rRNA from 1 species
UACGUAGGGUGCAAGCGUUAAUCGGAAUUACUGGGCGUAAAGCGUGCGCAGGCGGUGAUGUAAGACAGAUGUGAAAUCCCCGGGCUCAACCUGGGAACUGCAUUUGUGACUGCAUCGCUAGAGUACGGCAGAGGGGGGGAUAGAAUUCCACGUGUAGCAGUGAAAUGCGUAGAGAUGUGGAGGAACACCGAUGGCGAAGGCAGCCCCCUGGGUCGAAAACAUGACGCUCAUGC